rnacentral:lncRNA from 1 species
GAAAAUAGAGGCAAUAUUGCUUUGCCAGUCCUGGAGGGCAUCUCUUCUCAUUUGUCCUCAUUGGAUCAUGCUUCCUCUUUCAGGGGGGAAAAUGCUUGUAUUGAGCUGAGGAAAUUAAAGAAAAAUUGCUACAGAUACGAAAACAAUGAAGCUCCUACAGUGGACAGCAUCAUUGAAACGAAAGCCAUCACAAAAAAAAAAGAAACUGAAUUGAAAACACAGGAGCUGAUCAUAACAACAGCCUGUCAAGAGAGAGCACAGAAAUUUUACAAUGAAGUGAAAAAGAUAUUGGCCAUGGAAAAAAUUGAAGUGGAAAGUGGAACUGAAGAGGAAAAUGGUUUUGAUGAUUAUUCAAUUCUAUUAUCUCUCUGGAGAACCAGAGAAGCUGUAUAUAAGAAACAAAGACUGCAAUUCCAAACAGUUUUAGAAGAAAGAAGUCAGACAUUCUUCAAAGAAGUCAAAGAGUUAUGUGCUAUGAGGAGAGAAUUCAAUUCAAAGGUACUUUUUCUUUGCCAGUAACUCGGUCAUGUGGUGAAAACUAGCUCAAACCAAAUGGCUGUCAUAAGAACAUCAAAUUAGCAGCUCCUAGACUAGGGAAUUCACAUUUCCCCACACUCCUUGUUGCUCCUGUCUUUAUCUAAACCAGAUACUUGAUUUAGACCCUACCACCAACAAUAGGAUAAAGGGAGAACCUCAAAGAAUCUGUGAGGAUCUGACUUAUAAAUUGAGUCCUUUGGGUUAAAAAGUUGAUAUUUACCAGUGAAGAUGUAAGCUAAAGUUAAGAGCACUUCUUAAAUUGGCAUUAACACCAUCAUUGAACUUCUUUGUUACUAUUCAGUUACUUUCAGUUUGGGUUUUCUUGGCAAAAAUACUGGAGUGGUUUGGAUUGCCUUCUCCAGCUCAUUUUGCAGAUGAGGAAACUUGGGCAAACCAGGUUAAGUAGCUUGCCCAAAGUCACACAGCUGGUCAAUGUGUGAGGCCAGAUUGCAACUCACGAGGAUGAGUCUUCCUGACACCAGGCCUGCCACUCUAUCCACUGUGCCUCCUAGCGACCCCAUUUGAAUUCUGGGAUUCUUCACCUUGGAUUCAAGUCCCCCAAAGGGAUGAAACAAACAUCAGUUUUCUUACCUAUGACUGUCUUGUGAUGUGAAGAUAGUGGAUUGUUAUGUUCACAUAUUUAGGCACAUAUAAGAUUCUGGACCCAGGUUUUUUUUAAUAUAUGACAUAUAAUCAUCUCAUCUUGUUAUUUUCACAAAAAAAAAUUCCAAAAUUUUUAAUCUAGCUAUUUACCUUAGUUAUUUACUCUAGUCCAAUACUCUCAUCUUACAGAUGAGAAAUCAUCACUUACUGGAGGUAACAGAUUGCUAAAUGUUUUACCUUUGUGCCAACAUUUGCUUGGCUCUUGGCAUCCAAGGAUGUAAAUGGGAUUCAACUGACAAAAUUCUUUGAACUUAUCUGAGCAAAGUGCUAAGGAAAAUUUCUCCUUGUGUUUAACUGAAUUUGAUUGUAUGGGGAACUGCAAACUCUGAUGUUCCUGCAUUACAAGCAUAUUUUCCUUAGCAUUUCUUAAUUUCUAUUGGGGAAAAAAGUGAAAUCAUGCUAAAAUGCUACUGUAUGCACAUGGUGGGUUCCUACGGCAGUUAAAAACACUGUACAGUUACCAUUUUGAUAAGCCUUAACCUGGAUGUACUGAAUACUAUUAUCACUUCUACUUCCCAUUACCAAGACUGUUGGUGGAAAGCUCAAACAGAAAUGGGGAUUACUAAAUCAUACACACAAGGAUCGCUAUGGGCUUCAUAUUCACAUUUUAAAAUGUAGUAUCAUCCAUGUUUCACUGUAUUUUGUUUUUUAUUGUUAAAUAUUUACCAAUUACAUUUUAAUCUGGUUUGGGCUGCUAUGGGGAGUACUGUGAGUCAUGUAUGACAACUCUGAUCUAGAAUGCAUACCUAACAUUAAUAUUAGCCAUCUCUUAGCAAAAUCCAAAUGUAUAAUGAGCUGUUUUAGAAGCAGUAAAUUGCUCAUCACCAGAAGUUUUUUAAAGUGGAAGUGGAAUGAGCACUUGUAGAUUCUGUAGAGGUGAUUUUCAGUCAGUAUGCUUUGGACUAGGCGACCUCUAAAGUUACUUUCAGCUAAAAUUCUAGAUUAUUAUCCACACAUGAAAAAGAAAAUAUCUUUGACAAUAAGCACUAAGAUUGAUUUAUAAUUUUUGUAAGAGAAAAGACCUGAAAAAUACUCUAGCUAUCACUAUUUCUCCUCUGUCAGAUAGUAAAAAUUAUCAAAUAGAACAUUACAGAUAAGAAUGCAAUCCUAAGUCAGUAAAGUCUGACUCUGUGAUGCAAUAAUUAUCUAAAAGCAAAGUAAAACUUAGUCUUACCUAUUAUGAAUGAUUUUGCCUGAAAAUAAGGUUCAUCAUUUUUAACAACAAAAAAAUCUCUCUCAAUUUUCUUGAAGACAUUUCUACUUGAGAAAUUCAUAGCUGAAUCUGUCAUGAACUUGACAUCUAUAACACUUUCACUUCCAAGGUUAUAUUUAAUAUUCUAACAUCCUUACAAUGGCCCUUUAACAAAAAACUCUAUAUGACAGAAAGAUUACAACAGAUAAUUAGACUAGAUUACAAUGAUAAAAACCACAAAAGUGCAAAAUGAUUCAAAUACAGAGCAUACAUAGACAUACUUACACACCCCCUUUAGGCAAUUUUGAUGACUGAAGCUACUUUGCUAUUUUCUGUUGUAAUGUUUAUACUAUUUGGUAAUGACAAUCAUAAAAGCAUUUUGUCAUCUCUGAAUACUUCAAAAUAUUAGUACUCACAAUUCUGAACAAAGCUACAGAGAAUAACUAAAUGAAGACUUAUUUUGAUUUCUUUGUGGUGACAUUAACAACAAAAGAACCAUAGCAGAGGAUGAUGGUGCACACAGAGCUUUUGAAGGUAAAACCAAAACCACAAAAUCUCAAACAAGAUACCACCUAGGGGUACAACUCGUAACCAAGCAGCAGACACUGACAUCUGCUGGAACAGAUCAGAUUUAAUUUAACUAUCCAUCAUCUAUGAGAAGAAACCCUCUAGUGGACAGUAUCUUAGGUGCACUUUCUAUAUAUAAUACUUGAAUCUCUGGGUGUUGUUUAUUCUGUAAAGAGGGAAUUGAGCAAUGAAUAAUCUGACAGUUUCAGUUGCUGUGAAGUACAGCAUGUUAGAACAGUUGCAUGUCUUCACCAUUAGAUUCCACAAAACAGUUGGGAAUGGAUGAAUGAAAAAGCAUUUAUAAGCACUUACUAUUGGCUAGGCACAAGGAAUGAUACAAAUACAAAUGGCCUUAAAGUGCUCACAUUCAACAGGAGAAGACAAUACAAUAUAGAAGAAUGGUGGCCGGGGGUGGGUGGUGGUGGUGGUGGGUGUUUUAUGGUCAGGGAUGUGACAAUGAUAGUUGAGUGGAAAUUCAAUGAAACUGACAGACUUGCCGUUCCAGGAAUUGGUACUGUGGUGUAGAUUACUGUUUUCACAGUCACACAUGGAAUGAAGGGAAAGAGGAAGUAUUUGCAACUUAAAAUAAACUGGCAUCAAGAUGGAUGGGAGCA